rnacentral:sRNA from 3 species
GUGUACGAGUGGCACAUGCCGCACCGAGCACCGGCCGCGCCGACCUGACAGCUGCUCGCUAGGUUUUGGUAGCC